UGAAGAUGUAAGAAAUAAAGCUUUGCCG
rnacentral:piRNA from 1 species